rnacentral:rRNA from 1 species
AUACGGAGGGAGCUAGCGUUGUUCGGAAUUACUGGGCGUAAAGGGCGCGUAGGCGGCCGAUCCAGUCAGGCGUGAAAGCCCCGGGCUCAACCUGGGAAUUGCGUUUGAUACUGAUUGGCUGGAGUCCGGGAGAGGGUAGUGGAAUUCCCAGUGUAGAGGUGAAAUUCGUAGAUAUUGGGAAGAACACCGGUGGCGAAGGCGGCUACCUGGCCCGGUACUGACGCUGAGGCGCGAAAGCGUGGGGAGCAAACAGGAUUAGAAACCCCGGUAGUCC